rnacentral:rRNA from 1 species
UACGGAGGAUGCAAGCGUUAUCCGGAAUUAUUGGGCGUAAAGCGUUCGCAGGUGGCUGUUCAAGUCUGCUGUCAAAGACUGGGGCUUAACUCCGGAAAGGCAGUGGAAACUGAAUGGCUAGAGUGCAGUAUGGGUAGAGGGAAUUCCCAGUGUAGCGGUGAAAUGCGUAGAGAUUGGGAAGAACACCGGUGGCGAAAGCGCUCUGCUGGACUGCAACUGACACUGAGGGACGAAGGCUAGGGGAG